AACGAACGCUGGCGGCAGGCCUAACACAUGCAAGUCGAGCGCCCAGCAAUGGGAGCGGCGCACGGGUGAGUAACACGUGGGAACGUGCCCUUUGGUUCGGAAUAACGCAGGGAAACUUGUGCUAAUACCGGAUAAGCCCUACGGGGGAAGAUUUAUCGCCAUUGGAGCGGCCCGCGUCUGAUUAGCUAGUUGGUGAGGUAACGGCCCACCAAGGCAACGAUCAGUAGCUGGUUUGAGAGAACGACCAGCCACACUGGGACUGAGACACGGCCCAGACUCCUACGGGAGGCAGCAGUGGGGAAUCUUGGACAAUGGGGGAAACCCUGAUCCAGCCAUGCCGCGUGAGUGAUGAAGGCCCUAGGGUUGUAAAACUCUUUCGGCGGGGACGAUAAUGACGGUACCCGCAGAAGAAGCUCCGGCUAAACUUUCGUGCCAGCAGCCGCGGUAA
rnacentral:rRNA from 1 species